UCCGAGUUGACCCCGGCAGUCUCCUAUGAGUCCCCGGCAUUAUCCGCUGGCAACAUAGGACGAGGGUUGCGCUCGUUGCGGGACUUAACCCAACAUCUCACGACACGAGCUGACGACAGCCAUGCAGCACCUGUGUUACGGUUCUCUUUCGAGCACUAAGCCAUCUCUGGCAAAUUCCGUACAUGUCAAAGGUGGGUAAGGUUUCUCGCGUUGCAUCGAAUUAAACCACAUGCUCCACCGCUUGUGCGGGCCCCCGUCAAUUCCUUUGAGUUUCAACCUUGCGGUCGUACUCCCCAGGCGGGGCACUUAAUGCGUUAGCGCCGGCACGGGAGGAGUCGACACCUCCCACACCUAGUGCCCAUCGUUUACGGCGUGGACUAC
rnacentral:misc_RNA from 1 species